CUUCCACUUUGUUUUCCUGUUUUUCAGGCCAUCAAGGACACCAAAGAAAAAGCCCAGUGCUCACUGCAGGACCCAGAGCUGGAGUCCGGGGUGCUGAUAGAUGUGGCCAAACACCUGGGCUCUCUGAAGUUCAGAGUCUUGGAGAAGAUGCAGGGGACUGUGCAGUACACUCCUGUGACUCUGGACCCAAACACUGCAGCCCCCUGGCUCUCUGUGUCUGAUGAUCUGACCAGCGUGAGACACGGGGAGCUGGUUGUUAACUCCAGUGACAACCCAGAGAGACCACGAGCCUUCCGGCGUGUCCUGGAUUCUAGAACACUACUCGGGGGGACUGGAGCUUUCAAUACUAACUCACUCUAUUGAAGACACAUUCACUGGGAGCCUGUUUCCAUACUUAGAUACGGGUCUGAAUAAAGAUGGUAGCAAUGCUGGAGAUAUAAAGAUCUGUCCAGCAAAGGUGUGUGUAACAGUGACAUCAUCCCAGUAAAGGUGUGUGUGACAGUGACAUCAUCCCAGUAAAGGUGUGUGUGACAGUGACAUCAUCCCAGUAAAGGUGUGUGUGACAGUGACAUCAU